rnacentral:rRNA from 1 species
CCCUUAGAUGUCCUGGGCCGCACGCGCGCUACACUGAUGCAUUCAACGAGUAUUUCCUUGGCCGAGAGGCCUGGGCAAUCUUUUAAACCUGCAUCGUGAUAGGGAUAGAUUAUUGCAAUUAUUAAUCUUGAGCGAGGAAUUCCUAGUAAACGCAAAUCAUCAAUUUGCAUUGAUUACGUCCCUGCCCUUUGUACACACCGCCCGUCGCACCUACCGAUUGAAUGGUCCGGUGAAAUCUCGGGAUUGUGGCCAGUUCACUUUAUUGGGAGUUGGCUGCGAGAACUUGCUUAAACCUUAUCAUUUAGAGGAAGGUGAAGUCGUAACA